UACGUAGGGACCAAGCGUUGUUCGGAUUUACUGGGCGUAAAGGGCGCGUAGGCGGCGUGGUAAGUCACUUGUGAAAUCUCUGAGCUUAACUCAGAACGGCCAAGUGAUACUGCUGUGCUAGAGUGCAGAAGGGGCAAUCGGAAUUCUUGGUGUAGCGGUGAAAUGCGUAGAGAUCAGCAGGAACACCCGUGGCGAAGGCGGCCCCCUGGGCCGUACCUGACGCUGAGGCGCGAAGGCUAGGGGAGCGAACGGG
rnacentral:rRNA from 1 species